AACGACUCUCGGCAACGGAUAUCUCGGCUCUCGCAUCGAUGAAGAACGUAGCGAAAUGCGAUACUUGGUGUGAAUUGCAGAAUCCCGCGAACCAUCGAGUCUUUGAACGCAAGUUGCGCCCGAAGCCAUCUGGCCGAGGGCACGUCUGCCUGGGUGUCACAC
rnacentral:rRNA from 1 species